CAUGUCCGCAUAUAUACCGCGCGCCUCCCAGUACACAACGCGGAAGAGUAAUACUUUAAAGUUAGUUUAGAGUGUGGCGUAGUUAUAGUCACGGGCCAUGGUUAGAGUGAAUUCGCGCUGGAUUAUCCGCUUCCAGUCCCUCGUCAUAGUUCGUUUUGUUUAUCGACCCUGUUUUCCGUGACCACGACCUAGAUUCCUGACUUGCCCCGUGUAUGCCUGUUUGCCAGUCGCCUGACCUCUUGCAUGUUUAUGGAUUACGUUUUGGAUUUGUCUGCCUGUCUCUUUCAAAUAAACAACUGUUCAUCCUGCACUUGUAUCCGUCCUAUCUCUGCUCCGUCACGAUUCGUGACCGUGUCGGUCAGUUACGCAGGAGUCUCUAAGAUCGCGGCUGUGUUUCAGAGCGCUGUGUAAUUUUAGGCGAUUCGUCGAUUCUCGUUUUAAAGCACCGUUGAAGCUUUAUAUUUUAUUUUGGAGAAUACUUCAAAGAGGAGAUGGCCGUCUAACGUAACAGUGAUGCUGACAUUGUGUCUAUCCCGGACAUCGUAGACGAAAUCAAUCUUCUGAACAAGGCAAGCGGGUCGAACACAGAAGUCCCGCGAGUCAGGUUGGAAAACCCCGUGUUGGGCUUGUCAAAUCUUGUAAACAAGAUUGCUGCACCCGAGUUCAAAAAUAGUGCUGCGGUUUCUACUGAACGCGGUAUACCAACGAGCUCUGGAAAGGCCAAGCGUAGAACAGUCGCUCAGGUCCACAGCGCGGGUGUCGCGACGUCUAAACGUAAACGAUAGACAGACGUGUCUCCAGGGUAUAGUGUGGAUCCAGUAGUACAUCAGUGAGCAGCUUCACUCCUGAUGCUCCAGGGUCAUUCCCUCUGAGAUCCAGCUCUAUCAGGGUCACAGGGAAACCUGGAGCCUAUCUCAGGGACCAUCGGGCACAAGGCGGGGUACACCCUGGACAGGGUGCCAGUCCAUCGCAGUGUCUCCAGUGUACAGUGUGGAUCCAGUAGUACAUCAGUGAGCAGCUUCACUCCUGAUGCUCCAGGGUCGUUCCCUCUGAGAUCCAGCUCUAUCAGCUGAGUCAUCUCGGCUACUGGGAAGUUCAUAUCUGGGUGGAGAUAUGGAGGAAGUGAGAAGAACUCGAGUGUCCUGCACAGAGCCCUGACCUCAACCGCACUGAACACCUUUAGGAUGACCUGGAACCCCAACUGCACCCCAGGCCUCCUCACCCAACAUCAGUGCCUGACCUCACUAAAGCUCUUGUAGCUGAAUGAACACAAAUCCACACAGCCACGCCCCAAAAUCUAGUGGAAUGCCUUCCCAGAAGAGUGGAGUGCAUUAUAACAGUAAAGGUGGAAACAUCUUGAAUGGGAUGUUCAACAAGCACAUAUGGCUGUGAUGGUCUGGUGUCCACAAACUUUUGGCAAUAUAGUGUAUGUGUGUUACUGAGUGUCAUUUCCUGAGUUCCUAGGUCCAUAGUGGUUCUUGGUUUCGACUCUCACCUGGUUCCCAUUUUUGUGUACGGAUGAUCCUUUUAUAAUGCUGCCUAACUGUGUACCUACCAUUGCUUCAGACUUUGACCAUGUUUUGGGGAUCACAAAUAAACACCAUGUUGAUUUUA